AUUGAACGCUGGCGGCAGGCCUAACACAUGCAAGUCGAGCGGAUGAAGGGAGCUUGCUCCUGGAUUCAGCGGCGGACGGGUGAGUAAUGCCUAGGAAUCUGCCUGGUAGUGGGGGAUAACGUCCGGAAACGGGCGCUAAUACCGCAUACGUCCUGAGGGAGAAAGUGGGGGAUCUUCGGACCUCACGCUAUCAGAUGAGCCUAGGUCGGAUUAGCUAGUUGGUGGGGUAAAGGCCUACCAAGGCGACGAUCCGUAACUGGUCUGAGAGGAUGAUCAGUCACCUUGGAACUGAGACACGGUCCAGACUCCGACGGGAGGCAGCAGUGGGGAAUAUUGGACAAGGGGCGAAAGCCUGAUCCAGCCAUGCCGCGUGUGUGAAGAAGGUCUUCGGAUUGGAAAGCACUUUAAGUUGGGGGGAAGGGCAGUAAGUUAAUACCUGGCUGUUUUGACGUUACCAACAGAAUAAGCACCGGCUAACUUCGUG
rnacentral:rRNA from 1 species